rnacentral:rRNA from 1 species
UCCGUAGGGUGCGAGCGUUAAUCGGAAUUACUGGGCGUAAAGCGUGCGCAGGCGGUUUUGUAAGCCAGAUGUGAAAUCCCCGGGCUUAACCUGGGAAUGGCAUUUGGGACUGCAAGGCUUGAGUGCGGCAGAGGAGACUGGAAUUCCUGGUGUAGCAGUGAAAUGCGUAGAUAUCAGGAGGAACACCGAUGGCGAAGGCAGGUCUCUGGGCUGACACUGACGCUCAUGCACGAAAGCGUGGGGAGCAAACAGG